rnacentral:rRNA from 1 species
UGGCGACCAUAGCGUUAUGGACCCACCUGAUCCCAUGCCGAACUCAGCAGUGAAACGUAAUAGCGCCGAUGGUAGUGUGGGGUCUCCCCAUGUGAGAGUAGGACAUCGCCA